rnacentral:lncRNA from 1 species
CCUCAAAUUGGAAUGAAAGAGGAUGAUGAUUCUAAGAAGAAAGAGAAGGUAAUCCUCAAUGUUGUAGAGUUGGAGAAGCUACCUAAACUUGAGCAAGUAGUUCCAAAUUAGGUUGGAUGGUGAGAAAACCAAAGACAACAACUGAGGUAGAUUUAAAGGUCUGAGAAGCUCUUCCAUUUGAAGAUCCAGGUGAAGUGGAGCAUCAUAGAGAUUAUUUUUUAUCUUGGAAGCC